rnacentral:tRNA from 1 species
UCUUCCUUGGUCUAGUGGUCAUGAUUUCCGCUUGUCAUCUCAUCGAUCACAAGCGCGGGAGACCGGGGUUCGAUUCCCCGAGGGAGAG